UCCAGUUGCCCUCUGUGGCUAAGGCUUAAGAACAUAGCGCUCAGAACUCUCAGCACCUGGGGGGCUCAGCCGGUUAAGCGUCAGACCUCAGCCCAGGUCAUGAUCUCGCAGUUGUGUCUACCCAGAGCGAUCCCACACCUCCAGUUUUGGGAUUCAAAGAUCCCCAUCACCCAUAAAAUCCAUGGCCGGCACCUGCUUUACGACCCACUGGGCUACUGCAUCCAAACACAGAAUUGUUAAACAGCAACAGGACAAGCAGAGCUGAUAGCCUUUAUAGAAAGGUGAAGAGUGAGAGAACCCAACUGCUUUAACCAUCCCCCACCAGUUGGCAAGGGGAGGCUAGGCUCCUUCCCUCCGUGUUUGGGUUUCC